AUCCUCGUCAAAGGAGCACGCUCUAUAUCUCUCUCGUUUGUUCUUCAUCCUAAAUUCUUAAUUACUACUUUGUUGAUAAUCUUGAAUUUUUUCAUUGCACAGUUUUGAUUGUUCUUCUUCUUCUUCUUCAGAUCGGCUUCUCAAACUCGAUUAAAUGACUCGAUUUUAGGGUUUGCAGUUCUUGAUUUCUUCGAUUUCAUGGAUAUCGUUGUUGAAUUGCGUUUUCAUAUGCUAUUUUCGGAUUAUAGAUAUCAAGAAUUUCACAAUUCUUCAAUGGUUAAUCGAGAUUUGCGUUUAUCGAUUUUGCAGCAAGCUGAAACGUUUUAGGGUUCUUGAUUCGAUGCAUGAGAACGGAGAACAAUCAGAUAGCAUGAUUCUUCAAUAACUUUCUUAUGGAGCCUCUAGUUUGUUGUGAUUUGGUGAUCUCUAAUAAAAAAAUAUUCUUUCAAUCUUUUUUCAUCAAUUAAACUUAUUCUUAUUCUCACACUUUAUAUUUCUUGAUUUCUUGAUAUGUUGGCCAGAUUCUCUGCUCCGUGAUUGCUUAAUACCAUAUUGUAGGCAUCAAGAAUCAGAAUUUUACACGAUCACAUUUUCAUGAAUCUUUUACUUAUCAGUCAUUAGGAAUUAUUAUUUGUAUAAAUUUAUUGUUAUAAUUCUUCUGUUAGAUAAUAGAUAAUUGAGACGUGCAUUGUUGGUUUUGCAGUGAACUGAAGUCAAAAUACUAACUUGCUUCAUAGCAUGGUGCCUCGAGAUUUGGUUUGGCUAUCUUUAAUAAAAAAUUUGUUUCAACCUUUCUUUAUUGAUUCUUAUAUCAUAUUUCUUGAUUUGGUAUUUACUAUUUGGUUCUUUGGUAGAAGAUAUGAUUUAAAAUAUUUUAUUCUAAAGUUUGCUUGUUCUUGUGUUCAAUUUUCUUUUGUUUCUUGAUUCCUUGAUAUGUUGAUUUGUUGGCCAGGUUGUGUUUUCCAUGGUUGCUAUAAACUAGAACAAGAGAUUGCUAGUGAUAUAUGCUUUUUCCCUAUUGUAGAUAACAAGAAAUUGACACAAUCAACACUUCUCUUGACUCUUCUUUUAAAUCGGUUAUCAAGAUUAUUUGUCUAAAUUUUGUAUAUAAUUCUUCAUAAUUGGAUAAUCAAGAUACACUUUAUCCAUUUUGCAGUUAUAUUCUAGCAACAUAAGAACGGAGAAUGACACCAAUAGAUAAAUCAGUUUUUUCAUUGAGUUGUUCUUCAUUUUUUUUUUUGGCUCAAAAUAUAUGAAUUGAAGUUUGAAAUUGUUUUCUCUCUAGCGUGAUUUGUCAAAUUAAUAAAAUUCUACAAAGCAUGGAAUCUAUCAUUUUUGAUUUGGUAAUAUCUAUAAAAUUAUUUUCUGUUUUAAAAUUUCUUCAUCCAAUCUGAGAGUAUAUAUAUAUGUUGAUUUUUUAUUUACAUUUUGGUGUUUCAGGAGAAGUAAUCAGUGAACAUAGGAUUUCUUCGGUUUCUAUAUCUCCCUCUUCUGUGAUUUUCAUGUGUUGCGUUCUUAUUCUUGUUGAUUAUUUUGUUCUCUUAAUUCUGAAGUUUGAUUGGUUUAUUGUUGGUUUCAAUUUUGGAGUUUGUUGUUCUUAUUUUAAUUUUAAUGAUCUGGUUGUUGUGUUUGUUAGAGUUUCAUUUACGGUUCUUCUAACUCCUCAUUAGUAACAAAUAUUAUACUAUGUAAACUGGUGUUCUGCAUUUAAUUUGUUGGCAGAAUGCUGGAGUUCUCAUUUGAAUUUUCUGUUUUAAGGUGUUUCCAAUUGUGUAUCAGUUAUUCUCUGUUGGCAAACUUCAUUUUCAUUUCAGUUAUUCUCUGUGUUUUAGUGUCCAGUCUUUUUUGUUUUCGUUCCAUGGUUACGUGCGAGAGAUAUUGAUGUGCGAGUAGGGUUGCUGGUUUUAUCUGAAUAGUUCAGCUCACUACUGUUUCCUUACAUUAAUGUUUCUGUAUGACAUCUUUCUGUAUUACACGAUUCUGGAAAAGUUGGGACAACUUUGUGAUAUUGUAUUUGUGAUAUGCUGAUCAGAGGCUUGGUUUAGAGAAUUAUGCUAAUCUUUUGUCUUUUUUCUUCUUUUUUUUCUACAACUAUUUGCCACACUACCCCAUCAUUGUACUGUUUUCUUAUAUUUAGGUUUUUGACAUAUAAUUGACAGUGCGAAAGUUUACUCAAUUCUGAAGAAAGUGGACAGCUUUGUGGGGUUUUUUUCUAGCCGUGAUCUAAACGUCUUGAUAUGAAGAUGCCCAUCUCUUUCUUGGAUAAUCAAGAUAUACACGUCUGUUUUGCAGUAAGCUGAUGACCUUGGAGGUUGCUGUUCUUAUUUUAAUGACCUACUGCUAUUAACCAUGGUUCUUCAAUAACUUUCUUAUGGAUCCUCUGCUUUUGUGAAAUGGUGAUUUCUAGUAAAAAAUAUUCAUUUCAAUCUUUUUUCAUUAAUUCUUAUUAUUUAUGCUUAUUCUCAUAUUGUAGCCAUCAAGAAUUAUUUCUAUAAAUUUAUUGAUAUAAUUCCUCAUUAGAUAAUAGAUAAUUGAGACGUGUGUUGUCGGUUUUGCAGCGAGCUAAAGUCCAAAUAGCGAUUCUUGAUUGAGUAGAUAAAGAACAGAGAGAGAACAAUCAGAUAUAUAAAUCUUGAUUGAGUAGAUAAGAACAGAGAACAACCAGAUAGAUAAAUCAAAUUUCUUCAAUGAAUCAUUCUUUUUUAAUUUUUAUUUCUUGGCUUUGAUGCAAAAUAAAUGAAUUGAACUUUGAACAUGUUUUCUGCAGCUUGGUUUGUCAAAAUAAUAACUUUCUUCAUAGCAUGGCGCCUCGAGAUUUGGUUAGAUAAUAGAUAAUUGAGACGCUUGUUGUCGAUUUUGCAGCGAGCUGAAGUCCAAAUAGCCAUUCUUGAUUGAACGGAUAAGAACAGAGAAUAAUCAGAUAGAUAAAUCGAAUUUCUUCAAUGAAUCGUUCUGUUUUAAUUUUUAUUUCUUGGCUUUCAUGCAAAAUAAAUUAAUUGAACUUUGAACGUGUUUUCUGCAGCUUGGUUUGUCAAAAUAAUAACUUUCUUUAUCGCAUGGAGCCUCGAGAUUUGGUUUGGCGGUAUUUAGUAAAAACAUUUGUUGCAAUUUUCUUUAUUGAUUCUUAUAUCAUAUGAUUUGCUAUUAACUCUUUGGUUCUGCAGGAGAAGAUGUGAUCUUAAUUUUUCAAUUCUAAAGUUUGCCUGUUGUGUUCAAUUCUCUUUUGUUUCUUGAUUUCUUGAUCUGUUGGCCAGGUUGUUCUUUCCAUGAUUGCUUAAUUUCGGGGUUGCUAUAAACGAGAAUAGGAGAUUGUUAGUGAUAUGCUUUUAUCACCGUCGUUAUCAACAAAUUCAGCAAUCACACUUCUCUCGACUCUUCUUUUAAAUCGGUUAUCAAGAAUUAUUUGUCUAAAUAUUGUAUAUAAUUCUUCAUAAUUGGAUAAUCGAGAUACACUUCUUAUCCAUUUUGCAGUGAGCUGAGAAGUCUUCUAUUCUAGCACAGAUAAGAAUGGAGAAUGACACCAAUAGAUAAAUCAGUUUUUUUUUUUCCCAUUAGUUGUUCUUCAUUUUUAUUUCUUGGAUUCACAUAUAUGAAUUGAAAUUUGAACAUGUUUGCUAUGUCCGUGAUUUGUCAAGUUAAUAAAAUUGUACAUAGCAUGGAGCCUAUCAUUUUUGAUUUGGUGAUAUCUGUUCAAUAUUUUUUUGUUUUAAAAUUUCUUCAUCCACUCUGAGAGUAUAUAUAUGUUGAUUUGUUAUUUACUCUUUGGUGUUUCAGGAGAAGUAGUCAAUGAACAUAUGAUUUCGUCGGGUUCUGUAUCUUCCUCUUCUGUGAUUUUCAUGUGUUGCGUUCGUAUUCUUUUUUUGUUGAUUAUUUGGUUCUCUUAAUUCUGAAGUUUGAUUUGUUUAUUGUUGGUUUCAAUUUUGGAGUUUGUUGUUUUGUUUAAUUUGUUGGCAGAAUGCUGGAGUUCUCAUGUGAAUUUUCUGUUUUAAGGUGUUUCCAAUUGAACAUCAGAUAAUGGUAAUAAUGUUUUGCGAAACUUGACACAUGAUUACCACGCCAGGUUGAAUUGUGAAUUGAAACUGUCUGUUUUCUACCAUGUAGUUUUUUUACAUUCUUCUUGAUUGCGAAACUUGCUAUGUAGUAUCAAGCAAUCAGGUUCAUUUUGGCAAAAUCUUCUUGAUUGUUUAUCAUUUUACUCCUUUACCCCUUAGGUUUUCCUUACAUUUAGCUUUUUUUACACCUUAGGUUUUCUUACAUUUAGUUUUUUGACAAUGUAAUCUGACAAAAAUUAUCCAUGAUUCUGGACCUAUGAUGUUCUUCACAGGUAAGUGUUACAUGGGUUUGGUGUGCAAUAGAAGCCUCUUUUAUCAAUCACAUCGCACCUUGUUAAUUUUUGUCUGAAGUGGGGAAAGUAGAGAUAAGUGCCUUUGCCCCUUCUGGACUUGUUCUUUUCGUUUCAGUCUUUCUUUGUUGAUUCUGAGAGCAAAUAUUUAUUUUUGAUUUACUAUUUGGUGCUGUAGGAAUUUUAUGAUUCUAAAGGUUUUGUUUGUUCUGGUUUCCUCUGUGAUGACUUAAUUUAAGGGUUUGUUGUUCCUUUUUUUCAUGGAUCUGGUUUUAUAGACAAAAAUUAUUCGGGAUCUACGUUGUAACAUCCUUUUCUCAGAUCUGUUAUCACAUUUCUGUUGACCCUUAUUUUACGGAUAGGUUUCCAAGAUUUUGCAGCGAGCUGCCGGAGAUAAUCGAGAUUGGAUCUAAAACGUUUCGCGAUACUUGAUUCGACGCAUAAGAACGGAGAACAAUCAGAUAGAUAAAACAAAUUUUCUUCAAUGAGUGUCCUUCUUUUAUGGUUUUUAUUUUUUCUUUGCCCUUGAUGCAAGAUAAUCGAAUUGAACCGUGAAUGUGGUUUUCUGCAGCAUGAUUCUUCAAUAACUUUCUUGGGGAGCCUCUGGUUUUGUGAUUUGGUGAUCUCUAGUAAAUUAUAUCCUUUCAAUCUUUUGCAUUAAUUAAACUAUUUUUCCUGUUCAAAAAAUUGAACUUAUUCUUAUAGUAUAUAUUUUUUGAUAUGUUGUGCUCCGUGAUUGCUUAAAUCUGAUAUUGUAGCCAUCUGAUGAUUGCUUCUCAUAAAUCUCCGUUUACUUAUCAGAUAGAUAAAUCAAUUUCCUUCAAUGAGUGUCCUUCUUUAUGGUUUUUAUUUUUUCUUGGCUUUGAUGCAAGAUAAACGAAUUGGACUGUGAACGUGUUUUUCUGCAGCAUGGUUCUUCCAUAACUUCCUUAUGGAGCCUCUGGUUUUGUGUCUCUAGUAAAAAAUAUCCGUUCCAAUCUUUUUUGAUUAAUUCUUAUUAUUUUUUCUUAUUCGUAUAGUAUACUUAUAUUUCUUGAUUUCUUGAUAUGUUGGCCAGAUUGUGUGCUCCGUGAUUGCUUAAUCUCAUAUUGCAGCCAUCAAGAAUCAGAAUUUUACACGAUCACACUUCUCAUGAAUCUUUUUUUACUUAUCAGUCAUCAAGAAUUAUUUGCAUUUAUUGAUAUAAUUCUUCAUUAGAUAAUAGAUAAUUGAGACGUGCGUUGUCGGUUUUGCAGUGAGCUGAAGUCCAAAUAGCAAUUCUUGAUUGAAUGGAUAAGAACAGAGAACAAUGAGAUAGAUAAUUCGAAUUUCUUCAAUGAAUCGUUCCUUUUUAUAUUUUUAUUUCUUGGCUUUGAUGAUGCAAAAUAAAUUAAUUGAAGUUUGAACGCGUUUUCUGCAGCUUGGUUUGUCAAAAUAAUAACUUUCUUCAUAGCAUGGUGCCUCGAUAUUUGGUUUGGCGGUCAUAGUAAAAACAUUUGUUUCAAUCUUUCUUUAUCGAUUCGUAUAUCAUAUAUUUCUUGAUUUCUUGAUUUGGUGUUUACUCUUUGGUUCUGCAGGAGAAGAUGUGAUUUUAAUUUUUCAAUUCUGAAGUUUGCCUGUUGUGUUCAAUUUUCUUUUGUUUCUUGAUCUGUUGGCCAGGUUGUUUUUUCCAUGAUUGCUUAAUUUCAGGUUUGCUAUAUACGAGAAUAGGAGAUUGUUAGUGAUAUGCCUUUCUAUAUCAAGAAAUUCACGCAAUUACACUUCUCAACUCUUCUUUUAACUCGAUUAUCAAGAAUUAUUUGUCUAAUUUUUGUAUAUAAUUCUUUAUACAUUUUAUACACUUUUUAUACAUUUUGCUGAGAAGUCUUCUAUUCUAGCAACAGAUAAGAACAGAGAAUGACACCAAUAGAUAAAUUAGUUUUUUCAGUUUUUCAUUAGUUGUUCUUCAUUUUUAUUUCUUGGCUGAUAUACAAAUUGAAGUUUUUAAAAUUCUUCUUUGUUUUUAAAAUUUCUUCAUCCACUUUGAGAGUAUAUAUAUGUUGAUUAGUUAUUUACUCUUUGGUGUUUCAGGAGAAGUAGUCAGUGAACAUAUGAUUUCUUCGGGUUUUAUAUCUUCCUCUUCUGUGAUCAUGUGUUGCAUUCUCAUUCUUUUUCUUGGUGAUUAUUUCGUUCUCGUAAUUCUGAAGUUUGAUUUGUUUAUUGUUGGUUACAAUUUUAAAGUUUGUUGUUCUGCGUUUAAUUAGUUGGCAGAGUGCUGGAAUUCUCAUGUGAAUUUUCUGUUUUAAGGUGUUUCCAAUUGAGUACCAGAUAAUGGUAAUGUUUUGUGAAACUUGAUACAUGAUUAUCACCCAGGUUGAAUUGUGAAUUGAAACUGUUUGUUUUCUGCUGUGUAGUUUGUUUCAAAGCUAUAUCAUGCUAUGUAGUAUCAAGCAAUCAGGUUCCUUUUGGCACAAUCUUCUUAAUUGUGAAUCAUUUUACUCCUUUACACCUUAGGUUUGGAGAAAUAUUUAUUGUUUUUCUUGAUAUUUCUACGAUGAUUUGUCGUGGCAUAAUUUUUCUACACAUCUCCUGGUGUUCACAGGGUAUGUCUUACAAGAGAUUAGUGUGCAAAAGACAUCUCCUUUCUCAAUAACACUGCACCUAGUUAAUUUUGGUCUGCGAAGGGGAGAAAUAGGAGAUAAGUGCCUUUUCCCUUUGUACUACUAAUCUUCUGUCAACCAAUUUACAUGUAUCAACCAGUUAUGUUGCUAGGCUUAAAGGAUAUCCUGUUAAUAACAGUGGCCCAAGCACUUCUCUUUAUUAGGAGGAAUCUGAAAUUGUCUGUUGAUAUGGAAACACAACGACCUUGAAAUUUGAUGCAAAUUUGUUUUCAUGAAUCAUCAUCUCUACAGGCUGUGUCGUAUACUCUCUACUGUCACUAGGGUAUAGUUUGGUCAUCUCUACUGAGGCUCUUUACAUUUCAGGCUUUGUUUGAUAAUAAUCAGUAUCUACUUUUGGCUAUUUCUUUGAGUUUUCUAUGUGGGUUUGACACGGGAUAUUUGUGGCAGGCAGAGAGCUGAAGUAUGGUUAUUAUCAGAGAGAUGAAGAUUGGUUAUUAUUGGAGAAUGGGUUUAGAUAAUCCACAUUUUUUCCAUGAGUCAUUCUUUAUUUUAAAUUUUGUGCUUUUGAGUACAUGACAUAUAAAAUUUUGUGCUUUGAGUACAUGACAUAUAAAUUGAACUUGAGCUUGCUUUUUUUUGACCAAUGAAUUUGCUUUUUCUGCCGUUUGGUUUGUCAAAAUAAUAACUUUGAUUUGCUGUUGCCUAGUAAAUUCUUUUUGUUUCAAUCUUUAUUGAUUUUGAGAGCAUAUAUUUCUUGAUUUUUAUCCUCCUAAAGGUUUCUUUUGAUUUGCUCCUUGAUGGAUGAACUUUAGUGUUUGCAGUUCUAUAUUCUUUGACUUGCUUCUAUAAUCUAGAUAUCUAGCGAUUUACAUAGUAACGUGAGUUUCUCAGAUCUGUUAUCACACUUAGAAUGACUCUUACUUUACGAAAGGUUAUCAAGAAUUAUUUGUAUAAUUUUUAUAAUUCAUCAUUUGAUAAUCGAGAGAUCCUUUAUCCUUUUUGUAGCGAGAUAUCCUUUCCUCUUUCCAGCCAGCUGUGAGAUCCUGAUACAGUGGACAAGAAUGGAGAAAUUGAAUUUUGAAUAUAUAUUGUUUUUCUGAAGUGUGGUUUGAUUUCUCAAACUAAUAACUUUCUUCAUAGCAUGGAGCAUAGCAUUUUGAUUUGGUGAUUAUCUAUUAAAAUUGCCACAAAUUUGUGGGGUUCACUUUGUAACUAUGAUUCCAGAGAUAGAUAAAAUUCCAGAGAAUGGUUCCAGAUAGAUAAAUAAAAUUCCUUCAAUGAAUCGUUCUUAUUUAUUUUAAUUUCUGGGAUUCAAUUACUAGACAUAAAUUGAAUUGUGUACAUGUUUUUCUGCAGUGUGAAAAAUUGCAACAACUUUGUGGGGUUCACUUCGUAACUAUGAUUCCAGGGAUCAGUGGCUUGGUUUGAAGAAAUCUUUUUGUUGUUUUUUGUUUAUUUUCUACAACUAUUUGUUGCGGCGUAAUAUUUCUGCACAUGUAUCAUCUGUGGUAUUCGCAGGGUCUGUGGUAUACAUGGGUUUGAUCUGCAACAGAGGGCUCCUUUCUGAAUCACACCGCACCUUGUUAAUUUUUCUGUUUGGAGUGGAGAAGUAGGAGAUGAGUGCCUCUUCUUGUAUUAUGUGUCUUCUAUCAAGAAAUUUAAAUGCUACUUGCUCCUUUCUCAUUCAUCCUUGUGAUAUAAUUGGUCCUUUUUACAUAUAUCUGUUUCUGUUCCUUGAAUCGUGUUGCUUAAUCUCAUAUUGUAGCCAAUCAAGAAUCAAAAUUUUACACGAUAAAACUUCUCAUCAAUCUUCUUUUACUUAUCAGUAAUCAAGAAUUAUUUGUAUAAAUUUAUUGUUAUAAUUCUUCUGUUAGAUAAUAGAUAAUUCAGACGUGCCUUGACGGUUUUGCAGCGAGCUGAAGUCCAAAUGGCAAUUCUUGAUUGAAUGGAUAAGAACAGAGAACAAUCAGAUAGAUAAAUUGAAUUUCUUCAAUGAACAAUCUUUUAUAAUUUUUAUUUCUUGGCUUUGAUGCAUAAUAAGUGAAUUGAACUUUGAAUGUGUUUUUCGCAGCUUGUCUUUCUUCAUAGCAUGGAGCCUCGAGAUUUGGUUUGGCGAUCUUUAGUAAAACAUUUGUUUUAAUCUUUCUUUAUUAAUUCUUAUAUCAUAUAUAUUUCUUGAUUUGGUAUUUAGUCUUUGGUUCUGCAUGAGAAGAUGUCAUUUUAAUUUUUCGAUUCUAAUGUUUGCUUGUUCAUGUGUUCAAUUUCUUUUGUUUCUUGAUUUCUUGAUCUGUUGGCCAGGUUGUUUUUUCCAUGAUUGCUUAAUUUCAGGGUUCCUAUAAACGAGAAUAGGAGAUUGUUAGUGAUAUGCUUUUUUCAUAUUGUAGAUAUCAAGAAAUUCACCCAAUUACACUUCUCUUGACUUGUCUUUUAAUUGAAAUACUCUUUUUAUCCAUUUUGCAGAGAGCUGAGAAGUCCUCUAUUCUAGCAACAGAUAAGAACGGAGAAUGACAUAUACGAAUUGAACUUUUUUCAUUGAGUUCUUCAUUUUUAUCGAGUUGUUCAUUCCAUUUUUUCAUUGAGUUGUUCUUCAUUUUUAUUUCUUGGCUCGACAUAUACGAAUUGAAGUUUGAUGUUUUCUCUGCAGCAUGAUUUGUCAAAUUAAUAAAAUUCUACAUAGCAUGGAGCCUAUCAUUUUUGGUUUGGUGAUAUCUAUUAAAUUUUUUUUUUGUUUUAAAAUUUCUUCAUCCACUCUGAGAGUAUAUAUAUGUUGAUUUGUUAUUUACUCUUUGGUGUUUCAGGAGAAGUAGUCAGUGAACAUAUGAUUUCUUCAGGUUCUAUAUCUUUCUCUUCUGUGAUUUUCAUGUGUUGCGUUCAUAUUCUUUUCUUGUUGAUUAUUUCGUUCUCUUAAUUCUGGAGUUCUCAUGUGAAUUUUCUGUUAUAAGGCGUUUCCAAUUGAGUAUAAGAAAAUGGUAAUGUUUUGCGAAACUUGAUACAUGACUGUUUUCUCUCGUGGAGUUUGUUUUGAAGCUAUAACUUGCUAUGUAGUAUCAAGCAAUCAGGUUCAUUUUGGCACAAUCUUCUUGAUUGUGAAUCAUUUUACUCCUUUACACCUUCGGUUUUCUUACAUUUAGUUUUUUGAUAAUGUAAUUGAAAAUAAUUAUCCACGAUUCUGGACAUAUGAUGUUCACACUGUUAUCACAUUUCUGUUGACUCUUAUUUUACGGCAAAUUUGUUUUCAUGAAUCAUCAUCUCUACAUUCUGUGUUGUAUAUUAUCUACUGGUGCUAGGCUAUAAUUUGGUCAUCUCUACUAAGGCUCUUUACAUUUCAGUCUUUGUUUGAUAAUAAUCAGUAUCUACUUUUGUCAAUUUCUUUGAGUUUUCUGUGUGGGUUUGAGUGUUUGACACGGGAUAUUUGUGGCAGGCAGAGAGCUGAACUAUGGUUAUUAUUGGAGAAUGCAUUCAGAUUAUCCACAUUUUUUCAACGAGUCAUUCUUCAUUUUAAAUUUUGUGCUUCGAUUACAUGACCUAUUACAAUGAGUCAUUCUUUAUUUUAAAUUUUGUGCUUCGAGUACAUGACAUAUAAAUUGAACUUGAGCUUGCUUUUUUUUGACCAAUGAAUAUGCUUUUUCUGCAGCUUGGUUUGUCAAAAUAAUAUCUUCUGUCAACACAUGGAGACUCAAGUUUUGAUUUGUU